CUUGUUCGAAAACCGAAGAGGCACCGCUUUCUCAACUUUGAGAGCCCCUUAGAUAAAGCUUGUCUGUAAUCCUCACACCGCUUUCUCAACUUCGAGAGCCAGAUCUCCUUGGAUAAAGCUUGUCUGUAAUCUUCACAUGUAACAUCAGCUUUCCAGAUACCACAGACCACUUUUUCAAAGUGCUCUGACAGAGUUAAAACACGUGAAGCU
rnacentral:lncRNA from 1 species